ACCACNUAUAAGUUAUAAAUAUAAUUAAAAAUAAAAUUAAAUUAAAUUUUGAUUUUAUAUUAGUCUUUUUUAACAAUAUUUUCUGUAGCNNNCUUCGGAUGCCAGAAAAAUAAUUAUAUUUGUNNAUAUUCUGUAGUNGUAGGGAAAGGACUACAAUGAUAUUUAGGAGAUUUAUGGAAGAAAAAUAAAAGUGGUGGCACAAAAUAAGAGGCCCCGACUGUUUACUAAAAACACAACACAGUGCAAUGAUUAAUAUCGUAGUAUACUGUGUGAAAUUUGCCCAAUGCCAUUAACAUAAGAAAAAUAAUGGAUUUCUGUGAAUUUUUCGAAAGUCUGGUUAAUAGCGGUCUUAACUAUGAGGAUCNAAAGGUAGNAAAAUAAAUUGGCNAUUAAAUGUGGUNNGGUAUNAAUAAUGUAACGAUGGCCUNACUGUCUCUANAACUUGCUNAGUGAAAU
rnacentral:rRNA from 1 species